rnacentral:rRNA from 1 species
GAUGGACGCUGGCGGCGUGCCUAAUACAUGCAAGUCGAGCGAACAGACGAGGAGCUUGCUCCUCUGACGUUAGCGGCGGACGGGUGAGUAACACGUGGAUAACCUACCUAUAAGACUGGGAUAACUUCGGGAAACCGGAGCUAAUACCGGAUAAUAUAUUGAACCGCAUGGUUCAAUAGUGAAAGACGGUUUUGCUGUCACUUAUAGAUGGAUCCGCGCCGCAUUAGCUAGUUGGUAAGGUAACGGCUUACCAAGGCGACGAUGCGUAGCCGACCUGAGAGGGUGAUCGGCCACACUGGAACUGAGACACGGUCCAGACUCCUACGGGAGGCAGCAGUAGGGAAUCUUCCGCAAUGGGCGAAAGCCUGACGGAGCAACGCCGCGUGAGUGAUGAAGGUCUUCGGAUCGUAAAACUCUGUUAUUAGGGAAGAACAAAUGUGUAAGUAACUAUGCACGUCUUGACGGUACCUAAUCAGAAAGCCACGGCUAACUACGU